ACGAUUCAGAAUCAGCAGGAAGGUAACAGGGUUAAGAGAAAAUGAUGAGAGUGCGGACUUAUGCUGGGCUUAGUGUAAUAGCUUCUCUUGCUGUCAUUUAUCAUGCCUUUAAUAGUAGAGGCCAGUUUUACCCUGCAAUGGUUUAUUUAUCGACAUCUAAGAUCAGUCUGGUGCUUCUCCUCAACAUGGGUCUUGCUACUAUGUGCAUUUUGUGGCAGCUAACCAAGAAGAUUUUCCUUGGUACCCUUCGAGAGUCAGAGGUGGAGAGGUUAAAUGAGCAGUCAUGG
rnacentral:misc_RNA from 1 species